rnacentral:rRNA from 1 species
GACGAACGCUGGCGGCGUGCUUAACACAUGCAAGUCGAACGCUGAAGCUCAGCUUUUGUUGGGUGGAUGAGUGGCGAACGGGUGAGUAACACGUGAGUAACCUGCCCCCUUCUUUGGGAUAACGCCCGGAAACGGGUGCUAAUACUGGAUAUUCACUGGUCUUCGCAUGGGGGUUGGUGGAAAGGGUUUUUCUGGUGGGGGAUGGGCUCGCGGCCUAUCAGCUUGUUGGUGGGGUGAUGGCCUACCAAGGCUUUGACGGGUAGCCGGCCUGAGAGGGUGACCGGUCACAUUGGGACGGAGAUACGGCCCAGACUCCUACGGGAGGCAGCAGUGGGGAAUAGUGCACAAGGGGCGCAAGCCUGAUGCAGCGACGCCGCGUGAGGGAUGGAGGCCUUCGGGUCGUGAACCUCUUUCGCUCAUGGUCAAGCCGCAACAAUGGUUGUGGUGAGGGUAGUGGGUAAAGAAGCGCCGGCUAACUACGUG